UUAAACUGAAGAGUUUGAUCAUGGCUCAGAUUGAACGCUGGCGGCAGGCUUAACACAUGCAAGUCGAGCGGUAAC
rnacentral:rRNA from 1 species